AUGAGUGGAAAUCCUGGACAAUUACAUACCUGAACUGGAAAAGGCCAGUGUCUCCCGGGACAUGUAUGAAUGUGAAUGUUUAACUGCAAUGAAAAUGAAACUGUCAAAGCCAGGGAUCCCGUGUGGUGGCGACAUUGAUGGCAGACGCAGGUGGAUGAGUUGUUGAGAGGUGCAGCUUGCCAUAGAGGGUAUGAUGUCAAUUGGCCCAGGUUGUUGUAUUGUCCAGGCAGUAUUGAUGUUUUCCCAUAUUAGAACCAAUGCCUUACUCCUGCCAACUCCAGCUGGGAUCCACGUGGGAGAAAUCUGCCAAGUUGGUUUCCUCGUUCCGAAUUUGAGAGGAGAAUGACAGCGGGAUUUCAGUGAAGUCAUCUGCUGAUGGCUAUAUGAAAGGAAACAAGAUUUCCUUUGCGAAGAAUCAUUUGCAUUAAAGAUUUCCCGCUGGCAUACUCCAGGACGAAGAAGGAUUCCAGCUGUUAAAGAGAGAAUAGAAGAAGGUGAGACCUAGAACAUCCAGCCUCCCACCCAAA